AUUUCUGUGGAAAGUCAAGAGAGUCAGCAUGAGGACCAUGACUAUGAUGAUGCAGAGGAGGAGGAAGUUGUGAAUGAGAGUUCUACGGUGAGUCAAGAGAAUCAAGAUGAGGACCCUGACAAUGAAGAGUAGGAAGAUAUGAAUGAGAAUACCUUCAAGAACUGGAACAACCCAUUGUACCGUGGAGCAACAGUUUCCCUUGGACAGGCCGUUCUCCUAAUCAUGGCAUUUGUUGCUAUAACUGGACUUGCCCAAGAUGCUCUAAGCCAUCUGCUACAAAUGCUUGUUUUUCUUUUACCAGAAGAUUCUCUGCUACCCCCAACUAAAUAUCUUUUUAAGAAAUUCUUCUCUCACAGAACAUUUGUUGUGAAUCAUUACUGUCCCGAUUGUCUUCAUAUUUGGGUGAAUAAUGUAUGUGCAGGAUGUGGUGUUACAUGGAGUCAGCUCAAGUUUCUUUUUCACACUACCCCUCAUCCCCCAACUGAGGCAUGUGCUAGAAUCAAUGAAACUAGGAGAACACCUUACCGCCAUAAUCGCACACCACAUACAAGUAUCGAUGACAUUUUUGAUGGUAAGAUGUAUAAAGCUAAUUGUGAAGAAACCUACUUGAAACAGGAAUUCUCCUUCAGUUUGACAAUGAACUGUGAUGGUGUCCCAAUUUUUAAGUCCUCAACCUUCGCUAUAUGGCCAAUUCUUUCAUUCAUCAAUGAACCCCCCCCCCAACAGAAAGAAAGAAACACACCUUUAUGUCUGGGUUGUAGUUUGGUCAUAAGAAACCCAACAUGUCCUCUUUUUUCAAACUGUUCACAAAUGAAUUGAAACAACUUGGAGAAUCAGGUUUUCGCUGGUGUUUAAAUGGACAAAGUACAGUCCUUUCGUAUGUGUAUAGCUUCAUUUGUUGCUGCGACAGUGUAGCUAGAGCAAUGCUGCAGGACAUCAAACAGUUUAAUGGGAAGUAUGGGUGCAACUGGUGCCUACACCCUGGGUGGAGAAAGGGAAGGGACUAGUCCAAGUUUAUCCAAAACCGGAUGAGACAGUUACAGUCCGUGAACACAAUGACAUGAUUAAUCUCGCAAGAAGAGCUAGUAUUGGUGAACUGGAUACCUUUGGAGUUAAAGGACCCACUCCACUCAUGCUAAUCCCUCACUUCAAUCUUGUGAAUGGCUUCAUUGUAGAUCCGAUGCACUGCCUGGAUCUUGGCGUUAUGCGGCAACUAGCUACAUUGUGGUUUGAUAGUUGUCACCAUGAAAAACCAUGGUAUAUGGGGACAAAGAUUAAGCAAAUUGAUAACAUGCUUCUGCAAAUCUAGCCUCCAUUGAACAUCACACGAGCACCUAAAUCGUUAUGUCAUCGAGCAUUUUGGAAGGCCUCAGAGUGGAGAGCUUUUUUACUGUUUUAUGGGGCCAUUGUCCUGUGGUCUUUCUUACCAACUGCAUAUUUUUUCCACUUUUUACUACUGUGCAAUGCUGCUUACAUUAUGCAGCAGUUAACAAUUUCACAAAUUGACUUGUUUUAUGAUACACAAGAUCAGCAAGUUUGUCCAGGAUUUUGAGAUCCUUUAUGGUACAUGUCACAUGACCUACAAAGUUCAUCAGUUACUACAUUUACCUGACACCAUUAGAAACUGGGGUCCGCUUUGGUGCAAUUCAGCGUAUAGAGUCCUGCAGUGGUGUCUUACUGAAAUUGUUCAAUGGACCCAGGCAGUACCUCUACAGAUCUUGACAUCAUUCCUCCCGCUAAGGAACUUAAAACAAAUGGGUACGAUAACAAUGAAAAAUGCACCAGAUGAAGUGAACCAUUUUUUCUGUGACUUACUUAAAGGAUAUUGUGCUGCAAAACGAGCAUUUAGACAUGACAAUUGUGUUCUUCUUGGUAGUGUAGAGAGACGGCCAAUGGCCGUCUCUCUACACUACUCUCUAUCUCUAUUGAGAGUCUUCUAAAUUCAAAAUGAGAAGAAUAUUCUCUUUUAUCGUAAAGCUAUUGUUGAGAUUCAGGUUUAUCAUUGUCAGAGCUUUGGUAGAUCAAAAAGAGAAAUAAUUCCACAGUUAAGUUAUGCAAUGUUGGAGCAGGACGGAUACAAUAAUUUGUCUUUGUAAAAACAGUGAAUGGAGAUCAGCACACAGUUUGUCUUCUUAAUACAAUACAUACAUCAAGGUUGAGGUCCAUUACACGUCCUGCCAAUUUACGAACUACUUCAGUUAUGAAACACAUUCUUGCUGUUGAAAACAUUGAUACAACAAACAUUGUGGCAGUAAUGGUCAAAGACCUAAAAGAUAAAUUCAUUGUAUAUAAAGCAGAAUCUGAGCAUAUUAUCUGCCUGUUACCAAACAGCUGUGAACGAGAUUAACAGCAUUGUUCUUUAAGAAAUGUUUCUAGUUAGAAAAUGUGUUUUCUCCCAAUUUAUUUUUUGAGGAAGAAACAGACACCACUGACCAUGUGUGUGAAAUAUGUAAUGUAAUUUAUGGAAUGGAUAAUCUUUGUUAUUUUAGUACUUGUAUACAUGUUAAUUGGAUUUGCAGUACUAUUUAGGUAGUUGCCCAUUUUACUUGGAUAUGUCUAUUAAGAAAUGAAUAUAUCACCUUCAUAGAUUAUUAAGCUUACUUUAAAUGUAAUAUACCUUACCUCUUGAUGGCA
ensembl:lncRNA